rnacentral:lncRNA from 1 species
UCUCGGGCAUCCGUCUUUGCGGUUCUUGGAAAAAGUUUUUCCGUUAGCAUCUUUUUCCUCCGGGGUCACCGGAGCUCGGCAGGCUCGCCUCGGGUCCCUCCUCAGUCAUCUCGUUCAGCAUUCUCUCGGUCCUCGUGAGGACUUUCUCUCCCUGUCAUGUCCCCUCGUGUCACGGGUGUCUGGGGGUAUUUGGUCCGGAGCUGCUCUGCCCUGGCGCCCAGCCCGGUUGUAGGUGUUUAAGGACAAGUCCCGGGCACUUGUAAUUGGAGAUUUGUAAUACGGGCUGUAGUUGGAGUCUAGCUGGUAUUCUUAUGUUGGCAGCAGGUGUCUGGAGCUGUGAAGUUACCCUGCAGCACUUUGACUUUUUUCCUAACUUUCUUUCAGAUUCAGACAGAUUGACCUCAUGGCAGAGUACUGCAUCCCAGAUGAUGGGGGUCCCCCUGAGAAGGAAGUAAAGCCGGGUAGCAGCGGGGAAGGCGAAGCAGGUGGAAGGCUGCCUCCUGAUGCUGUGCUGUGGCCCCCUCACUGACCUGCCAAGAGACCCCGUUUGCUUCUCUGGUGAGCCCCAGCAAAUAUUACCGGAGUCCGUGACGAAGCCUCGACCUCGUCCACGUGUCGGUGCGGUCCUGGUAUCCUUUAGGCGUGGCCGAGGAGUCGCGGCAAGUCGGGGGCUUUGGAAGGAGCGGCGAGGGCGCGCUCAACUUUCAGCGACGCUACAUCGCCUGCUCUCCGUUUAUCCUAGGCGUACCCUGCGACGACGGCAUCCGCCUAGGAGCGUGGCUGAAGCGUGCGGCCGGAGGACCCGGGAGUUCCUAAGAGAUGGUGAUGAUACUUGUCUGAGACAACAGCCCGGUGAGAGAAGAACUUCCCAGACAGCGAGGUGGCUUUGUUUGGCUCCUGACCGGCCUCUCGCCGUGACUCACAUCUUCAGCCCUCUGAGAGAUAAGUGGAGCCCACAGAGGGGAUCAAAGCAGGGCGAUGCAGAUAGAUUGACCUCCUGGCAGAACACCUGUCCCAGAUGAGGGGGUCCCCCUGAGAAGGAAGUAAAGCCGGAUAGCAGCGGGGAAGGCGAAGCAGGUGGAAGGUGAGCCUCGGUUGGUGGAGAGAAGCAGUUGUUCUUGCUGGGGUCUCAGUUUCUGCUAUAACUUUAAUCCCUUGGGUUUUUUUUAUUUUAGGUGGUCUACUUGCAAGAUAUCCCAGCCCAGGAUGCUGGAGGACAGGUGGGUGCAAGCUCUGUGUGUGUUUUGGUGUUUCAGUCCCUGGUUUGCUGCUAAUCUUUAGUUCUUGAAGGUAGAAUGAAAGAACCACAUCACAAAUCCCACCUUGUGGAUCCUGACACACAUUGGUGUCACGGACAGGAUUCUGAGAGACAGAAGGGGUUGCAGGUUUAUCGUGCAGUCAGUAUCAGGGGAAAGACGUUUCGCCUCAGCCGCCCCUAGCCUGCCACGCUGGUGAGCAGUGUCUAGAAAGCAAGGGAGGUGACUCGAAUUUGUUAAAAACAGCACAUGCCUCAGGGCAAAGCACCCCACACUCGUUUGAGGGCUCUGUCUUCAGAACUUUACAGGGGAUCUUUGAGUAUGAUAAGUGGGACUGAGUGGUUUUUCUGUUUAAAGUCCCUGGUUUGCUGCUAAUCUUUAGUUCUCUAAGACAGAAGGAAAGAACCACAUCACAAAUCCCACCUUGUGGAUCCUGACACGAAUCAGUGUCACGGACAGGAUUCUGAGAGACAGAAGGGGUUGCAGGUUUAUCGUGCAGUCAUUAUCAGGGGAAAGACGUUUCGCCUCAGCCGCCCCUAGCCUGCCACGUCGGUGAGCAGUGUCUAGAAAGCAAGGGAGGUGACUCGAAUUUGUUAAAAACAGCACAUGCCUCAGGGCAAAGCACCCCACACUCGUUUGAGGGCUCUGUCUUCAGAACUUUACAGGGGAUCUUUGAGUAUGAUAAGUGGGACUGAGAGGUUUUUCUGUUUAAAGUCCCUGGUUUGCUGCUAAUCUUUAGUUCUCUAAGAUAGAAGGAAAGAACCACAUCACAAAUCCCACCUUGUGGAUCCUGACACGAAUCGGUGUCACGGACAGGAUUCUGAGAGACAGAAGGGGUUGCAGGUUUAUCGUGCAGUCAUUAUCAGGGGAAAGACGUUUCGCCUCAGCCGCCCCUAGCCUGCCACGCUGGUGAGCAGUGUCUAGAAAGCAAGGGAGGUGACUCGAAUUUUUUAAAAACAGCACAUGCCUCAGGGCAAAGCACCCCACACUCGUUUGAGGGCUCUGUCUUCAGAACUUUACAGGGGAUCUUUGAGUACGAGAGGUGGGACUGAGUGGUUUUUCUUCUGUUUCAGUCCCUGGUUGGCUGACAAGCUUUUGUAGUCCAAGAUGGAAUAAAGGAACCACAUUGGGAAUUCCA